CGAAGGCAAGGCGCACACCUGAAUUGUAAAGCUUCAGAUGACAGGUCAAGGGACCACUCACAGAAUAAGAGAUGGAUGAAUUGGACUGAAAGCUCAGACCACCAAGUUCCUGGAAGUGGAGGGAUGUCACAUGGUCACCUUGAUGAUGCUGGACCAGAGCACAGUCAUCUUAUUCAUGAGGCAUGUGCUUGUCCC